rnacentral:rRNA from 1 species
GACGAACGCUGGCGGCGUGCUUAACACAUGCAAGUCGAACGAAGUGGCGAACGGGUGAGUAACGCGUAAUCACCCUGCCCUUCAGAGGGGGACAACAGUUGGAAACGACUGCUAAUACCGCAUACUGAAGGCGGGGAUUGCGUCGGAUUAGCUAGUUGGGGGGGUAACGGCCAACCAAGGCGAUGAUCAGUAGGCGGGCUGGGAGGAUGGACGGCCACAUUGGGACCGGGACACGGGCCAGACUCCUACGGGAGGCAGCAGUGGGGAAUCUUCCGGAAUGGACGGAAGGCUGACGGAGCAACGGCGGGGGAGGGAUGACGGGCUUCGGGUUGUAAAGCUCUGUUAGUCGGGACGCGGUACCGGAAUAGAAAGCCACGGCUAACUACGUGCCAGCAGCCGCGGUAAUUC